rnacentral:rRNA from 1 species
AGUGAACGCUGGCGGUAGGCCUAACACAUGCCAGUCGAACGGCAGCACAGUAAGAGCUUGCUCUUACGGGUGGCGAGUGGCGGACGGGUGAGGAAUACAUCGGAAUCUACUUUUUCGUGGGGGAUAACGUAGGGAAACUUACGCUAAUACCGCAUAAGACCUACGGGUGAAAGCAGGGGAUCUUCGGACCUUGCGCGAUUGAAUGAGCCGAUGUCGGAUUAGCUAGUUGGCGGGGUAAAGGCCCACCAAGGCGACGAUCCGUAGCUGGUCUGAGAGGAUGAUCAGCCACACUGGAACUGAGACACGGUCCAGACUCCUACGGGAGGCAGCAGUGGGGAAUAUUGGACAAUGGGCGCAAGCCUGAUCCAGCCAUACCGCGUGGGUGAAGAAGGCCUUCGGGUUGUAAAGCCCUUUUGUUGGGAAAGAAAAGCAGCAGGUUAAUACCCCGCUGUUCUGACGGUACCCAAAGAAUAAGCACCGGCUAACUUCGUG